AUGGGAACUGAGGGUGAGGCUGCUACUAAUGCCCACAAUGAGGACUUUGGCCACUCCAGUGCAGAACCAUCAUGGGCCCAGAAGCUCAAGCGCAAGAUGAAGAAGCUCUUCUGCAUGGAGUCCCAUGGUCAAUACUUGACUCAUGUGGCGGAGAAGAAUGCCAGGACGCGCCACAAGGAGAUCAUGCGUCAGUUGGGCGCCAUAGUUGUCAGUGGGUCUGAGGGACAGAUCACUGAAGAAGAGGACUGGAUUCAUCAGAACUGCCACUGGACCGACUCCGAUGCCGAGCAGUUUUCAACUCACGAUGCAGAUGCAGAGAUGUGA
rnacentral:rRNA from 1 species